rnacentral:rRNA from 1 species
UACGUAGGGUGCAAGCGGUAUCCGGAAUUAUUGGGCGUAAAGAGCUCGUAGGCGGUUUGUCGCGUCUGCUGUGAAAACUGGAGGCUCAACCUCCAGCCUGCAGUGGGUACGGGCAAACUAGAGUGCGGUAGGGGAGAUUGGAAUUCCUGGUGUAGCGGUGGAAUGCGCAGAUAUCAGGAGGAACACCGAUGGCGAAGGCAGAUCUCUGGGCCGUAACUGACGCUGAGGAGCGAAAGCAUGGGGAGCGAACAGG